GACGAACGCUGGCGGCGUGCUUAACACAUGCAAGUCGAACGGAAAGGCCCUGCUUUUGUGGGGUGCUCGAGUGGCGAACGGGUGAGUAACACGUGAGUAACCUGCCCUUGACUUUGGGAUAACUUCAGGAAACUGGGGCUAAUACCGGAUAGGAGCUCCUGCUGCAUGGUGGGGGUUGGAAAGUUUCGGCGGUUGGGGAUGGACUCGCGGCUUAUCAGCUUGUUGGUGGGGUAGUGGCUUACCAAGGCUUUGACGGGUAGCCGGCCUGAGAGGGUGACCGGGCAAAAUGGGAACGGGGAAACGGCCAAAACUCUAAGGGGAGGAAGAGGGGGGAAUAAUGGAAAAAGGGCGGAAGGCUGAAGGAGGAACGGCGGGGGGGGGAAUAAGGCCUUUGGGGUGGAAAACGCUUUCGCCUGUGACGAAGCGUGAGUGACGGUAAUGGGUAAAGAAGCACCGGCUAACUACGUG
rnacentral:rRNA from 1 species